AGGGCUUUAGCUUAAUUAAAGCGUCUGGGUUGCAUUCAGAAGAUCUGGGAUAUUUUCACUCCCAUUGUGAGCUUUG
rnacentral:tRNA from 1 species